UUACACAGUCCGUUCGGACUUCAAAAUCUUAGUAAUAUUUUUCCCAGCAAUGUAUCCUUAACACCACUUGUCGACAUGUUGAAAACUGUUUUGAACAUGUCGACAAGUGCUGUUCAGGAUAUAUAUUGCUAGGAAAAAUAUUACUCAGAUUUUGAGUUCUGAUCAGACAGUGUAA